rnacentral:rRNA from 1 species
GAUGAACGCUGGCGGCGUGCUUAACACAUGCAAGUCGAACGGAAAGGCCCCAGCUUGCUGGGGUACUCGAGUGGCGAACGGGUGAGUAACACGUGGGUGAUCUGCCCUGCACUUUGGGAUAAGCUUGGGAAACUGGGUCUAAUACCGAAUAUGACCACUUCUUGGAUGUUGUGGUGGAACGCUUUUGCGGUGUGGGAUGAGCCUGCGGCCUAUCAGCUUGUUGGUGGGGUAAUAGCCUACCAAGGCGGCGACGGGUAUCCGGCCUGAGAGGGUGUACGGACACAUUGGACUGAGAUACGGCCCAGACUCCUACGGGAGGCAGCAGUGGGGAAUAUUGCACAAUGGGCGCAAGCCUGAUGCAGCGACGCCGCGUGGGGGAUGAAGGCCUUCGGGUUGUAAACUCCUUUCGCUAUCGACGAAGCCACUUGUGGUGACGGUAGGUAGAUAAGAAGCACCGGCUAACUACGUGCCAGCCGCCGCCGUAA